CGCCGACGGAACAGCACCGGGACGGAACCGCGGCACGACGGGAGCGGUGCUGAGCUCUGCGGUACCGGGGGGAGGGAGGGACGGAGGGAGAAGGGUGGGUGGAGAGCAGCGCCAGGAGGGGAGGGGAGGAGAGGAGAGGAGAAGAGAGCCCUGUGCGGCCAUAACCCACCUCCCUGUGGGGUUGGGGAAUGGGUGUGGGAUUGGGGUUCGGAUGUGGGAUAUGGAAUUAGGGCUGUGGGAUCGGGAUUGGGAUUAUGGUGUGGGAUUGGAAGGUGGGGUGUGGGAUUGGGGGUGUGGGGUGGGGUUGGUAUAAAGUCUGGGAUAUGAGAUUAGGGAUAUGGGAUUGAGAUUGGGAUGUGGGAUUGGGAUGUGGGGUAUUGGAUUCGGGGUGUGGGAUUGGGAUUUGCAUUGGGAUGGGGGCUGUGGGGUUGAGGUUGGGGUUAGGGUUGGGAUAUAGGAUUAGUGAUUUGGUAUUGGGAUUUCCAUUGGGAUG
ensembl:lncRNA